UACGGAGGAUCCAAGCGUUAUCCGGAUUUAUUGGGUUUAAAGGGUGCGUAGGCGGAUUGGUAAGUUAGAGGUGAAAUGUCCGAGCUCAACUCGGGAACUGCCUCUAAUACUGUUGAUCUAGAGAGUAGAUGCGGUAGGCGGAAUGUAUGGUGUAGCGGUGAAAUGCUUAGAGAUCAUACAGAACACCGAUUGCGAAGGCAGCUUACCAAUCUAUAUCUGACGUUGAGGCACGAAAGCGUGGGGAGCAAACAGG
rnacentral:rRNA from 1 species